CUACCCUCGGCGGAGAGCGAAGGCUCGCACCGGCCGUGGCAUCCAAUCCCUGUCCUGCCAGCUAUAGCCGGGCGGGGAGGAGGGAGCGGUUCCGGGUUCAGAAAGAGAAAAUCUCCAUCUAAGGCGAAGGGGUAGAAGGGAGGUCGAGGGAAGGCAAUAAAGUCACUUGUUUAAUCUCCUCUAUGCUGUAAAAUCCCCGAAGGCAGAAAUCACAUAGUCCUAAGUGUAUGGCACACAGAAGACGCUCAAUAAAUGGCUGAUUGGCAACUGGCCAUCGGACCCUGCUCGGAUGCAGCGCCAGUCCCGCCGCCCUACGCAGCAGUCCCCUCACCCCUCUCCCCCGGCGUCCUCCCUGCUGUGACAAGGCAAAUGAGACAAUGGGUUCGGCCAACCAACGCUUCCAAGCCUGCGGCCCGCGGCCGGGAAGUGUCCUCAAUCCGCUCGUCUAACACUGCAGUGGGUGCGGCCAAAGACCCCAGUCCACUCUCCGCGCCCCUGCCAAUGGGCGGGAAGCGGGGCCUCAGCCUCACUGCGCUGGCUCUGCCAGUGGCAGACGGAAUCAUCAGCCAACCGCACCCGGGCAGGACGCAUGCGCACCCAGAAGAUGUAGCCCUAGAUGGGGAAAAACCGAGCCGAGAGAGCCAAUUUUGGCUGGGUCUUGCCAGGUCUUGCCAGGUCUUCCCGGAGAGGGUGCGCAUGCGUAAAUCGAACACCUCCUCUAAAUCUAACGCCCUGCUCAGUUCUAGAGGGGACAGCGCCCUCUGUCCUCCUGGCCGUUUUCCUGAACUCCUAACCUCAGUCAAUACUGCCUCGGGACCUGGCGCUGCCUGGGAGAUCCAGAAGAAAGGAAGCAUCUUGGCCCCUGCCUUGGGGGCGACACGACCGUCCCCAAACACAGCGAGUCACUGGCCUGGGUCUUUGUGCAGAGGCCCCUCUAGGAGCGGGGAACCAACGAUGGCACGAACAUUGAUUUGAGGAGGAUGCUUCGCAGUUUACGAAAAAAUGAGUGCUAGAGGCGUUCAGAAACGGGAAAGAUCACUUUGUGCUCCUGUGAUCUGAAGGCUGCGUGAAGAAGAUGAGGCUUGGAAAAUAGGACUUACCACAUUACAGGACAGACCACAGUGCAUGUCUGUCUGCUCCAACAGAAGUGGCUUUCUUGAGGGAAGGAAUUCUGCCUUGUUCAACUUUAUAUUCCCCCACAGUGCCUUGCAGAAAGUAGGAGCCCAGAAAAUGUGUACUGAAUUGCUCAGAAUUGUGUGGUGAGGUAGAAAGUAUUGCUUAAUCUCUCCGAGACCUCAAUUUCCUUAUUUGUAAAUUAAACUGCUGAUUAAUUUCUAAAGUUCUUUUGAGUUACAGAAUUCUGUUACCCAACAAGGUUUCAGAGAUUGAGAAGAUUGAAUUAUUUGAUUUCUAAAUUCUUUUUCAACUUCAAUAUUAAAUGAUUUUAUAAUACCGAGUUGCAAGUGAUCUACAUGGAAAUGAUAGCUGAACAAGUUAUCAGAGGAAAAACAUGUGGGAAAAGAUUGAGAACAGAAGUAACAUCUAGCUAUCCAAUACGAGAGAGAGAAGCCACUGAAAGUAACAUGGAAGAGUCAGUCUGAAAAGCAGGGGAGAUAAUAAUAGAAGGAGUGACAGAAUCAGAUGCCUAGAGGACUAUCAUGCAAAUGAGUGAAGUGGUCCAGUGGUAAGCGUUAGGGAGUUGUGGAGACUGGAGAGGCCAUGGCCCAUCUAAAGUCAGCUGUGUCAUGUUACCAAUGUGAGUGUUGCCACAUCUUCCAGGUUUUUGUUUGUUUGUUAUUGUUGUUUUUGUUUUUUGUUUUUUUGCGACAGACUGGCUGUCACCAGGCUGGAGUACAGUGGCGUGAUCUCGCCUCACUGCAACCUUCACCUCCUGGGUUCAAACAAUUCUCCUGCCUCAGCCUCCCGAGCAGCUGGGAUUACAGGCGCACACCACCACACCUGGCUAAUUUUUGUGUUUUUAGUAGAGACGGGUUUCACCAUGUUGGCCAGGCUGGUCUCGAACUCCUGGUCUCAGAUGAUCCACCUGCCUUGGCUUCCCAAAGUGCUGGGAUUACAGACAUGAGCCACUACCCCUGGCCUAGUUUUUAAGAAGCUGGUAAUACAGAUUUUUAUUUGAAAUCUCAUGAUCUGUAAGUGUUAGCAACAAGUUCCAAUUACUUUAAAAUUCUUUGCAGAUCAAAAAAAAAAACCACAUCUUUAGGCCAAGUAUUUGGGCCACCUAUCUAUAACCUCUCCAGUAUAGUACCAAAGGAGGAACUCUUUUUCACCCUCAAAUCAUACAUGCUUCAGUACGAUGUAGUGGAAGAGCGCCCUCCCUCUGUUCAUAGCAGCUCUGUGAUAUGCAUCCCAACACUUCCUGGUACUUCCAGGACUUUGCCCCAUCCAUUAUCUUCUCUCUCUCCUCUGUUUUCAACUUCUUCUUGUCUACUUGCACUUCUCUUCAUUCUAAGAACAUGCUGAAGCCUCUCCACAUUCUGAAAACACUGCUCCAUUGUCCUAUAGCCACUUAUAGGCAUUUUCUAGAAAGUUUUCUUUUUCUCUUCUCCAGUAAAUUUCUUGACAAUAUCAAUUACGUUUGCUAUUUCCUCUCCCUCUCUUCCCAUUGUAAGUUGGCUGAACUCCUCAACUCACAGAGUUUGCAUCUACCACUUCAGCCUUUCUCAACAGGGCAAAGAUCUCUGUUGUGAAAUUCAUUGACACUUCCCAACUAGGUUAAAACUUCUCACACUCCGAUAUCAAGUAUUGUAUCUUUUUUAUUUUAGCACCUAAGAGGUGUUCAGUCAAUGUUUAUUGAACCAAAGGGGAACCGGUAAGUGUUAAUUGAACCAAAAUGGAAAGAGUUUUCAAGAAAGAAAGAUGGUCAGCGUCAUCAAAUUUGCAGAAGGAUCAAAGACUGUGAUGGCCAAAUGAAACCCACUGGAUUUUAAGAUAAGGAGAUUACCAGUAACUUUUGAGGGGGCAGUUUCAGUUUAGGGAGUUGCUUGACAUUGCCGUGGUUUAUAAGGAAGAGGGCUGUGGAGUGAGUGUAGACCAUGCAUUGGAGAAGUUUGGCACUAUAGGGAGGAAACAGCAGGAAAUAUUGGAGACAAUCAUGCCAGUUAGAGUUCUCAGGAUCGAGAAAAUCCUGGCGUAUUUGUAAGUAAAGGAAACAAAGCUAGUGGCACAGGGGAUGCUGAAAAUGUUUGAUAAAGAGAACAUCUCAGAGUACACCAUCAGAGGGAGACAAUUGAGAAGUUAGCGGAUUCAAGGAAUUGGUUGGCCUUUACAAGGAGGUGAGAAGUCGCCUCUGAAUUAGGCAGAAGGGUUAAAGGCAUGAGUCAGAAUUAUACACAGACCCUUGAGUGAGGAAAGGUGAUGGAGGAGAGCUCCUGUGCAUUUUAUCAAUAAAGUGGAAACAAGGUUACAUGUUUCCAGUACUCGGCUGGGGUAGUAGAACUAUAGAUUGCUAGCAAUUUAGAGACUAUUCUUUGCAGGCUCUACUCCUUUUGCCCACCCUGUAAAUAGUAUUGUUUAAUUGCUGAGGAUGGGGGGAGGCGGUCUGUCUUCGGCUGCCCUCUCUUCUUUACUCCUUUUCAGGGUAGUAUCAUCUACUCCUAAGUUUUAAGCAACCUCUAAAGGCUGAUGGCUCCUGAUGUCUAUAGCUGAAAUCUCUCUCUUGAGCUUCAGACCUAUGUGUGCAGCCACGCUUGUGGCAUAUCCCCAGGAUAUUUCACAGGUUAAACCUAACAGGAACUCUGUAUUUUCUGCACCGACACUGCUAAUUUCUCCUAAAUUCUUUGUCCUAGCUAAUGGUCACACUACUUCCCUAGCUGCUCAAGCCAGAUACCUCUCUCUCUCCUUCCCUCCCUCUCUCUAAAUAUGUGUAUGCAUGUAUCUGUGUAUGUAGACAGGUAGGUAUUUAAAAGAAUAGGAAUAUACUUAUAUUUUAUGUAUUAUGUUUUCUUUUACACUUACUAAUGUCAUGAUCAUUUGAUCAUGCCAAUAAAUACUUUUCGACAUUUUUAGUGCCUGAUAAGUAUUAUCUUCUAACCAUGUACUGUAUUCUACUGCCUUGUUGAAAAUUUGAUUGUUUCCUCUUUUUUUUUUUUUUUUUUUUUUUUUUAGCUAUCAGGAAUAGUACCGAGUGAGUCCAGGUGUGGUGGCCUGUGCUUGUAAUCCCAACACUUUGGGAGGCUGAGGUGGGAGGAUUAUAUGAUCCCAAGAGUAAGACCAGCCUGGGCAACAUAAGGAGACCCUGUCUCUACAAAAAAUAAAACAAUUAGCCGAGAGUGGUAGAGAAUGCCUGUGGUCCCACCUAUUCAGGAGGCUGAGGUGGGAGGAUCAUAUGAGCCUGGGAGGUCAAGGCUUCAGUGAACCAUGAUCGCACCACUGUUCUCCAGCCUGGGCAACAGAGUGAGACUCUGUUUCAAAUAAAUAAAGAGCACUGAACAUAUCUGUACAUAUCUUUUAUUUCCUUAGAUUGAAUACUUAGAACUGCAAAUAGAGGGCCACGAAGUAUACGCAUUUGAAAAGAUUUUAAUACAUUUUGCCAAAUUGGCCUUCCAGAAAAAUUAUACCUCAGUAUAUGAUAACAUCCUUGCCAAUAUUGGAUAUUAUCAUUUUAAUUGUUGCCAUUGUAAUAGAUUAUAUCUGACCCUCCAACUCUCAGCUCCACCUUUUCCCUAAAUCCUUCAUCAUUCCCUUCCAAGUACCCUCACAACUCCCCUGGGGCACACAACUUAAUUGAAAGGCAGAGAGGGACCAAUUUCCCAUAGGGAUAAUUCCCAAUCUUCUCCACUUUCCUCUAACCCCACUGUUGCUGCUCUUGUUCAUAGAGGUUUCUAGGCCAACCUGCGCAAGCUUCCAAAGUAAUUUUUUUGUAACUCUUUAGUAUCUUCCUCUAUCUCCCUCUCUUCCUAAAUUCCUGUCUCUGAGAGAUUAUUUUCCCCCUCCUUGUUGAGAAUGACCUUUCAAAAGCACUUUGUCCUUCUUUCCUCCCCUAACCUUUGCAUUAUGCCAUUGCUGCCUCCCAUUAAUAGAGUAGUAAUUUCUUCCCUCUGCCAAAAACAUACUUAAAUCUCUUCUACACAAGAAAAAAGAAAAAGAAUUCCAUUAUCCUCAAACUACCAUAUUCUUUUCUCCUUCCUUCACCAUUAUUUUUUUUUUUUUUUGAGACGAAGUCUUGCUCUGUUGCCCAGGUUGGGGCGCAGUGGCACAAUCUUGGCUCACUGCAACCUCUACCUCCCAGGUUCAAGUGAUUCUCCUGCCUCAGCCCCCAGAGUUGCUGGGAUUACAGGCGCCCGCCACCACGCCCGGCUAAUUUUUUUUGUAUUUUUAGUAGAGAUGGGGUUUCACCAUGUUGGCCAGGCUGGUCUCGAACUCUGACCUCAGGUGAUCUGCCCACCUCAGCCUCCCAAAGUGUUGAGAUUACAGGCGUGAGCCACCACGCCCAGUCCCCAUCAGACUUUAGAGUGCUGAGAAGUGUCUAUUGACUCUCAUGUACCUCUCAGCAUCUUGAAUUCUGGGGUCCAGCUCCUCACUCCUGAAAUGGCAGUCUUCGGGGUCUUAGGCAACUUUAAAGCCCUAUCAAAAGCCUUUUCUUCACCUCGUGGUAGCCUGGGGUGCAGGUCCCUGCCCUUCCGCCUGAGGCUGUCUUCUCCCGGCUGCAUGGUUCGCCCUUUCCUGAUUCUCCUCUCUCAGUGAGGGCUGGGAUCCCGCAGGCCUGCAGGCCAUGUUCAUGUGUCUCAACCAUCACUCUCCUAGCUCUUCCCUCCCUCUGGGUUUUCUCACCUGAUCCUGUGGCUUCAGUUUUCUCCUUUAUCUUGCUGAUUCAUAGCCCAAAUGGAAUUCCAGACCCAAAUUAUGUAGUUGCCUCCUAGACAGCUCUACCUGGAUGCGAUUCCUCAAAUUCCACAGAUCUCAAACUGAAUUUGUUAGCCAGUUUCCCCCACCAUCCCCACUGCCACACACAGACAAAGAGAAAAACCCGCUCCUCCCACUGUGUUUCCUACUUUGGUCAAUGUCAUCAUCAAACUUUUAGUCAUCAUGCUCAAACCCAUAAAAAUAAUAGCUGCCACAUACUGAGUGCCUGCUUUAUUUGCCAGGUACCUUACAUGCAGAAUCAAAUCCAGUCUUUCCACAAUAACCGUGUAAGGCUGAUUUACUAUGUCCAUUUUUAGAGAUAAGGAAACUACCAGAAAGUGGUGAUAUUCAAUAAGUUUAGUUAGUGCCCACGCCUCUGUGUGGAGUUUCACCACAUAAUCUCUCCCUGCUCCUCAGUACCAUAUCCAGCCAGUUUCCAGGUCCCCCAUGUUCACUGUAUAGUACAUCUGCCCUCUCUUUAUCUGCCCACCACCAACUCCUUAGGCCAGCCUCACUGUUCCUUUCUCUCUCUCUCUCUCUCUUUUUUUUUUUUUUUUUUUUUUUUUUUUUUUUUUUUUUUUUUGGUAGAGACAGCAUCUUGCUCUGUUGACCAGGCUGGUCUCAAACUCCUGGCCUUAAACCAUUCUCCUGCUUGGCCUCCCAAAGUGUUAGGAUUACAGGCAUGAGACCACUGCACCUGGCCUCAGUGUUCUUUUGCCUGGAAAUUAGCAAACCUUCUUCAACUAUCACUGACAGAUGUCAUUAUAAAGCAUACUUUUAAACAUUACUCCUUACAAGUGAAAAUCCUAAAUGAUUCCUAUUGCCGAGUGGGGUUCUAACCCUUUAGCCUGGUGUCCAAGGCUCUCUACCCUCUAAUGCCAGCCUUAUCUCCUGCCUAUGCCCUUGGUGAACCUUAUAUUCCAUCUAGCCAAGAACACAAGUUUUCAGCAUGCCCUGCACUUCCCCCCAUGACCCAAGUCUUUGUUCUUGCUAUUGCUUCUCUCUGUAAUUCCCUUUCUUCCCUAUCUAACCCCCCUUCUCAUAUGUGUCUGUUGAAAUCCUAUCAAUACUUAAAGUCCAGUUCAGCUGCCACCUCCACAGAAAACCCUUUCUUUUUAAAAAUUAAUUGCCGGGCGCGGUGGCUCACACCUGUAAUCCCAGCACUUUGGGAAGCCAAGGUGGAUGGAUCACCUGAGGUUGGGAGUUCGAGACCAGCCUGACCAACAUGGAGAAACUCCAUCUCUACUAAAAAUAGAAAAUUAGCCAUGUGUGGUGGCACAUGCCUGUAAUCCCAGCUACUCGGGAGGCUGAGGCAGGAGAAUUGCUUGAACCCGGGAGGCAGAGGUUGCGGUGAGCCAAGAUCGCACCACUGCACUCCGUCCUGGACAACAAGAGCGAAACUCCACCUCAAAUAAUAAUAAUAAUAAUUAAUUAAUUAAAUUUUGAGACAGGGUCUCACUCGGUCACCAAGGCUGGAAUGCACUGGCGCAAUCAUAGCUCAUUGCAACCUCGAACUCCUGGGCCCAAGCGAUCCUCCCUCCUCAGCCUUCAAAAGUACUGGGAUUAUAGGCUUGAACCACCACACCUGGCCAGAAAACCCUUUCAAAUCUUCCAAGGAGUCAUUUAGGUCUACCUCUUCCAACUCCCACUCUUAGUAUUUUUGCCUUUUUUUAAACCAUAUUUUUCCUCAUCUCAGAGAUACUUUUGUAAAUGUUUGUCUCCCCCUCUACUCUUUUAUGUUCUCAGAGGAUAUGGACUAUUUCUUAGCCAUCUCUGUAUCUCGAACAUUAUCUCCCCCACUAAGCAGUGUCCAGAGUAGGCAUGUACAAUGUACCAAUUUUAGUUUGACUGAUUCAAAUUAAUCAAACAUUUGGUCCAUUCUUGCUAAUCCUUCCACUUCUGCAUUCCAGGUUCUGUCAGGUGAGCUGUUGUGCUGUAUGUCUGACCUGAAUUGCCUUUUAGGAGGGAAUCAGUACUUGGAAGCUGGAAUACAUCAGGGAUACCCCUAAAACGAGAGACUAUUUUUUUCCAUUGGAUUCUGACAUAAAUAAAUUUUGCCUACUUUGACAGUCAGUUCUGUCCUGAAUGUUGGGAAGAGGGAAGCCGUGUUCUGGGCUUUGAAGUCAUGCAGAUCUGGGUUCAAGUCCUGCCUCCACCACUUUCUGCUUGUGUGAUUCAGUGCCCAUUGCUUAACCUCUCAUGGAGUUGUGAGGAUUAAAUAAGAUGCAAGUAAAACACUUAGAAAGGUGCCUAGUAAAGAUUAAGAGCUUAAUAAUAGGAAUAGUAAUCAUGGGAAUAAAUAAAAUACAUUCAAACUGGAUUUUAUCUGUUUACAUUUGAGUAUGAAUAUGUCGGCCUUUCUGGAAAUUCACAUCAAUGUCGAUUAAAUGAUGCUACUUCCGGGACUUUCUUCCCAACCCAGCUCAGCCCCUCCAGCCCGCCUCCUUCGUUUCCUCUUCCCUGCCAUAGCCUGGUGCGGCCACCAGGAGGAGCAUUUGUGCCACAGAAGGAGUCUCACUCACCUCUCAGGCAGGAAAAAGCCCUCCUCGCUCUCCAGGCCAUAUCCACUCCCCUCUGGAGCACGGCUUGUUGUGACACCGCUGCCCUCUGCCUGUCUUCUCUUCCCGGCCUGGGAGGAGCUUUCUAUUCUAGGUUUCCAUUCUUAUUUUGGACAGCCCGAUGUAAAGACAUACACCCUCGGCCGGGCGCGGUGGCUCACGCCUGUAAUCCUAGCAUUGUGGGAGGCCGAGGCCGGCAGAUCACUUGAGGUCAGGAGUUCAAAACCAGCUUGGCCAUCCAUCGUGGUGAAACCCUGUCUCUACUAAAAAUACAAAAAGUUAACUGGGCAUGGUGGUGCGCGCCUGUAAUCCCU
rnacentral:lncRNA from 1 species